rnacentral:rRNA from 1 species
GAUCAUGGCUCAGGAUGAACGCUAGCGACAGGCUUAACACAUGCAAGUCGAGGGGCAGCGGGGAGUAGCAAUACUUCGCCGGCGACCGGCGCACGGGUGAGUAACACGUGUGCAACCAACCCCGUACCGGGAGAUAACCCGCGGAAACGUGGACUAACAUCCCAUAACACUCUAGAGCCGCAUGGCUCUGGAUUUAAAAUUCCGGUGGUACGGGGCGGGCACGCGCGACAUUAGGUAGUUGGCGGGGUAACGGCCCACCAAG